rnacentral:ncRNA from 1 species
UACCUGGUUGAUCUUGCCAUAUGCUCAUUUCAAAGAUUAAGGCACUUCCUUGAGGCUCUGGCAACCAUUCUUCCAUGAAAUACAUGGACAAGUCAACAACAAAGAUUAAGCCAUACAUGUCUGAGUAUAUGUCGUAUUACAGCAAAACCAUGAACAGUUCAUUAAAUCAAUUAUGGUUCCUUGGAUUGCACUUUACUACUUGAAUAACUGUGGCAUUUCUAGAACUAAUAUGUAGCAGAGCUCCCACCUUCAGGGCAUGAGCACUUUUAUUAGACCAAAAUCAAUACGAUUUUGUGUUCAUAUUACAUGGUUACUUUAUAUAACUUCGGGCUGAUUGCUUAGGCAUGUCCUAGCAAUGUAUCUUUCAAAUGUCUGCCUUAUCAAUUGCUGAAAGUUAUUAUGUGCCUAUCAAGGCCAUAAUGGGUGAUGGGGAAUCAAUGUUUGAUUUGGGAGAGGGAGACUUAGAAAUGACUGCCACAUUCAAGGAAGGCACUCAAAUUACCCACUCCCAGAACAGGGAGAUAGUGAUGAAAAUAACAUAACUGGAUGCUUUUGAGACUUCAUAACUGGAAUGAGUAUGCUGUAAAUCUUUUAACAAGGAUAAGCUGGAGGACAAGUCUGGUGCCAGCAACCACAGUUAUUCCAACUCUAAUACCAUAUAUUCAAACUGUUACAUUUAAAAAGCUUGUAGCUGGAUCAAAGUUCCAGACAUGUGGUUUGCCUACCUGUGGUUACUGCCUGUUCUGAACAAGCAUCCACUUUCCUUUGAUGAUCUUGAUCAGUUGUCUUUGGUGACUGGCAAGUUUAAGUUAAAGCAAUUAGAGUGCUCAAAAGCAGGCAUUGCCUGAAUAAUCAUGCAUGGAAUAAUGGAACAGGAUCUCAGUUUUAUGUCGUUGAUUUUCAGAAUAUGAGGUAAUGAUUGAGAUGAAGGACCUACGUCUGAUGACCCUUGAAUUUAAUAGUUUCAUUCAAAAUCUGCCAAACUAAGGUUGCUUGUUGUUCAGUUCAUAA